rnacentral:lncRNA from 1 species
UGAUUUGUAUUGAUGAAUAUGAUACAUUAUAUUAUAUACAUACACCGAAGGAUGAUUUGGUGGAUCAAAUUAAAUUGGGUAAUUACAAAAGAGCAUGAUUUGGGGAGAGGUUAUAGAUAAUUUAGAGAUAUAGCUAUUUACAGACUUUGAUCGCCUCUGUAUGCUUGAUUUUCUCUAUUAAAAUUUAUAUUUUUUAAGUUUAAAUAUAUCCAAUAAAUAUUUGUUUUAUUAUUUUUAGUUAGAACAAGCUUCGAGUCUUCGGGCCUUUCCUGCUCCUCCUGUCACGAGGACUCCAAAUCUUCCUUCUCCUCUCUGUAAUCGUGAACAGGAACCGCGAUGGUCCGACGAGAUUAUGCAGCCACAUUAGCUCCGGUUCCACGCUCUGCUCCGUUUCUCC